AUUGAACGCUGGCGGCAGGCCUAACACAUGCAAGUCGAGCGGAUGAAGGGAGCUUGCUCCUGGAUUCAGCGGCGGACGGGUGAGUAAUGCCUAGGAAUCUGCCUGGUAGUGGGGGAUAACGUCCGGAAACGGGCGCUAAUACCGCAUACGUCCUGAGGGAGAAAGUGGGGGAUCUUCGGACCUCACGCUAUCAGAUGAGCCUAGGUCGGAUUAGCUAGUUGGUGGGGUAAAGGCCUACCAAGGCGACGAUCCGUAACUGGUCUGAGAGGAUGAUCAGUCACACUGGAACUGAGACACGGUCCAGACUCCGACGGGAGGCAGCAGUGGGGAAUAUUGGACAAUGGGCGAAAGCCUGAUCCAGCCAUGCCGCGUGUGUGAAGAGGUCUUCGGAUUGUAAAGCACUUUAAGUUGGGAGGAAGGGCAGUAAGUUAAUACCUUGCUGUUUUGACGUUACCAACAGAAUAAGCACCGGCUAACUUCGUG
rnacentral:rRNA from 1 species